GUGGGGAAUAUUGGACAAUGGGCGAAAGCCUGAUCCAGCCAUGCCGCGUGUGUGAAGAAGGUCUUCGGAUUGUAAAGCACUUUAAGUUGGGAGGAAGGGCAGUAAGUUAAUACCUUGCUGUUUUGACGUUACCGACAGAAUAAGCACCGGCUAACUUCGUGCCAGCAGCCGCGGUAAUACGAAGGGUGCAAGCGUUAAUCGGAAUUACUGGGCGUAAAGCGCGCGUAGGUGGUUCAGCAAGUUGAAGGUGAAAUCCCCGGGCUCAACCUGGGAACUGCCUCCAAAACUGCAUGACUAGAGUACGGUAGAGGGUAGUGUAAUUUCCUGUGUAGCGGUGAAAUGCGUAGAUAUAGGAAGGAACACCAGUGGCGAAGGCGACUACCUGGACUGAUACUGACACUGAGGUGCGAAAGCGUGGGGAGCAAACAGGAUUAGAAACCCUAGUAGUCC
rnacentral:rRNA from 1 species